rnacentral:rRNA from 1 species
AUACGGAAGGUCCGGGCGUUAUCCGGAUUUAUUGGGUUUAAAGGGAGCGCAGGCGGAGAUGCAAGCGUGACGUCAAAUUUCGGGGCUCAACCCCGUCUCGCGUCGCGAACUGCGUCCCUUGGUUGCGGGAAGGGGAGGCGGAACUCGUGGUGUAGCGGUGAAAUGCAUAGAUAUCACGAAGAACUCCGAUCGCGAAGGCAGCCUUCCGGCCCGUCAACGACGCUCAUGCUCGAAGGUGCGGGUAUCAAACAGGAUUAGAUACCCUGGUAGUCCGCACAGUAAACGAUGGACACCCGCGGUUUGGCCUGUAUGGCUGAGUCGCCAAGCGAAAGCGUUAAGUGUCCCACCUGGGGAGUACGGCCGCAAGGUUGAAACUCAAAGGAAUUGACGGGG